UACGGAGGGAGCUAGCGUUGUUCGGAAUUACUGGGCGUAAAGCGCGCGUAGGCGGCCCGCUAAGUCGAACGUGAAAUCCCCGAGCUCAACUCGGGAACUGCGUCCGAUACUGGCGGGCUUGAAUCCGGGAGAGGGAUGCGGAAUUCCAGGUGUAGCGGUGAAAUGCGUAGAUAUCUGGAGGAACACCGGUGGCGAAGGCAGUUCUCUGGGCCGUAACUGACGCUGAGGAGCGAAAGCGUGGGGAGCGAACAGG
rnacentral:rRNA from 1 species